UGGGAAUUUUGGACAAUGGGCGCAAGCCUGAUCCAGCCAUGCCGCGUGCGGGAAGAAGGCCUUCGGGUUGUAAACCGCUUUUGUCAGGGAAGAAAUCUUCUGAGUUAAUACCUCGGGAGGAUGACGGUACCUGAAGAAUAAGCACCGGCUAACUACGUGCCAGCAGCCGCGGUAAUACGUAGGGUGCAAGCGUUAAUCGGAAUUACUGGGCGUAAAGCGUGCGCAGGCGGUUUUGUAAGACAGAGGUGAAAUCCCCGGGCUCAACCUGGGAACUGCCUUUGUGACUGCAAGGCUUGAGUGCGGCAGAGGGGGAUGGAAUUCCGCGUGUAGCAGUGGAAAAUUGCGUAGAUAUGCGGAGGAACACCGAUGGCGAAGGCAAUCCCCUGGGCCUGCACUGACGCUCAUGCACGAAAGCGU
rnacentral:rRNA from 1 species